rnacentral:snoRNA from 1 species
UUUCAUGAUGAAAACCAUAACACAGACCUGUACUGAAUUUCAUAUCAUGCAGAGAAAAAUUAUUGCCUUUUUAGCUGAAC